rnacentral:rRNA from 1 species
AUACUUAGGGUGCAAGCGUUAAUCGGAAUUACUGGGCGUAAAGCGCUCGUAGGCGGCUUGUAAAGUCGGAUGUGAAAUCCCCGGGCUCAACCUGGGAACUGCAUUCGAUACUGGCAGGCUAGAGUAUAGUAGAGGCAAGUGGAAUUUCGGGUGUAGCGGUGAAAUGCGUAGAUAUCCGAAGGAACAUCAGUGGCGAAGGCGACUUGCUGGACUAAUACUGACGCUGAGGAGCGAAAGCGUGGGGAGCAAACGGGAUUAGAUACCCCUGUAGUCC